rnacentral:rRNA from 1 species
CCUACGUGAGGCUGCAGUGGGGAAUAUUGCACAAUGGGGGGAACCCUGAUGCAGCGACGCCGCGUGAGUGAAGAAGUAUUUCGGUAUGUAAAGCUCUAUCAGCAGGGAAGAAAAUGACGGUACCUGACUAAGAAGCCCCGGCUAACUACGUGCCAGCAGCCGCGGUAAUACGUAGGGGGCAAGCGUUAUCCGGAUUUACUGGGUGUAAAGGGAGCGUAGACGGUUAUGCAAGUCUGAAGUGAAAGCCCGGGGCUCAACCACGGGACUGCUUUUGAAACUGUAUAGCUGGAGUGCAGGAGAGGCAAGUGGAAUUCCUAGUGUAGCGGUGAAAUGCGUAGAUAUUAGGAGGAACACCAGUGGCGAAGGCGGCUUGCUGGACUGUAACUGACGUUGAGGCUCGAAGGCGUGGGGAGCAAACAGGAUUAGAUACCCCAGUAGUC